AGUGAACGCUGGCGGUGGGCCUAACACAUGCAAGUCGAACGACCGCACAGUAAGAGCUUGCUUUUACCGGUGGCGGCUGGCGGACGGGUGAGGAAUGCAUCGCCAUCUUCUUAUUCGUGGAGGACAACGUCGGGACAGUUCCGCUAACACCUCAUAUGUCCUACGGCUGAAAGCAGGGGUUCUACACACCUUGCGCGAUACAAUGAGCCGAUGUCGGAUUAGCUUGUUGGCGGGGUAACGGCCCACCAAGGCGACGAUCCGUAGCGGGUCUGAGAGGAUGAUCGGCCACACUGGAACUGAGACACGGUCCAGACUCCUACGGGAGGCAGCAGUGGGGAAUCUUGGGCAAUGGGCGCAAGCUUGAUCCAGCCAUACCGCGUGAGUGAAGAAGGUCUUCGGGUUGUAAAGCUCUGUUGUUGGGAAAGAACAGCAGCGGGGUGAAAUCUCGCUGUUCUGACGGUACCCAAACAGUAAGCACCGGCUAACUUCGUG
rnacentral:rRNA from 1 species